CCUUGUACACACCGCCCGUCACACCAUGGGAGUUGGGUUUACCCGAAGACGGUGCGCUAACCGCAAGGAGGCAGCCGGCCACGGUAGGCUCAGCGACUGGGGUG
rnacentral:rRNA from 1 species